GAUGAACGCUGGCGGCGUGCUUAACACAUGCAAGUCGAACGGUGAAGCAGGAGCUUGCUCUUGUGGAUCAGUGGCGAACGGGUGAGUAACACGUGAGCAACCUGCCCCUGACUCUGGGAUAAGCGCUGGAAACGGCGUCUAAUACUGGAUAUGUGAUGUGACCGCAUGGUCUGCAUCUGGAAAGAAUUUCGGUUGGGGAUGGGCUCGCGGCCUAUCAGCUUGUUGGUGAGGUAAUGGCUCACCAAGGCGUAGACGGGUAGCCGGCCUGAGAGGGUGAGCGGCCACACUGGGACUGGGACACGGCCCAGACUCCUACGGGAGGCAGCAGGGGGGAAUAUUGCACAAUGGGCGGAAGCCUGAUGCAGCAACGCCGCGUGAGGGAUGACGGCCUUCGGGUUGUAAACCUCUUUUAGCAGGGAAGAAGCGAAAGUGACGGUACCUGCAGAAAAAGCACCGGCUAACUACGUGCCAGCCGCCGCAGUAA
rnacentral:rRNA from 1 species